rnacentral:RNase_P_RNA from 2 species
UAGGCAUAGUAGGCGAUUGCUUUUGGAAACAAAAGAGGAAAGUCCGAGCUACUUAAGACAGAAUUCCAUUUAACUAAUGGCUAGGGUAACCUAAGGGAAAGUGCAACAGAAAAUAACCGCCAUUUUUAUAUGGCAAGGGUGAAAAGGCGGGGUAAGAGCCCACCGAUCUUACAGCAAUGCAAGAUGCCAUGCAAACCCAAUUCGUAGCAAGAAGAGAAUGGUUAAAGUCUUAGAAUUACAACUCUUCGCUUGAGAAUAAGAGCGAUCUUAUUCCUAGAUAAAUAAUCGCCCACGACAGAACUCGGCUUAUCGCUAUGCCUAAAUC